rnacentral:lncRNA from 1 species
GUUGAAGUGGUUGUACUGGUCGGCGAACAGCAGCGCGUCGAACAGCGCGUCGGUGUCGUCGCCGGAGCCGGAGUCGGUGGUGUCCUCCGGCUCGGUCCUCGGACGCUUCUUGGCGAGGUCGUCGUCGCUGUCGAGCGACAGCGCCGCCGCGGCGACGGCGAACUCGUCGGAGGCCGACAUGCCCUGCCAGGAGAAGUCCGGGAGGGCGUUCGACUCGGAGCUCUCGCUGGUCUCGGGCUCGUACUUGAUGGACGCCAUGGCGGCGGCGACCUCCUCCUCGUCCUCCUCCUCGACGAGGUUGAUGACCGGGGUCGCCUUGACGGCCGGGGCGGCGGCGGCGGUGGCGCGGCCGCGCUUGCGGGUGUCAGGGGUGGUAGCGGAAGGGAAGUUGAGCUUGGCCCUGUCCCCGCGGAUGGCGCGCGCGGCGUCGUCGUAGGCGAGCGCGGCGGCCUCGGCGUUGGUGAAGGUGCCGAGCCAGACGCGGAUGCCCUUGACGGGGUCGCGGAUCUCCGCCGCCCACUUCCCCCACGGCCGGCGCCGCACGCCCCUGUACUGCGCCGGCUUCCUGCGCCUGCUCGACGCCGCCGCCGCCGCCUUCUUGGCGCGGAAGACGAACGGCUUGUGCUCGGAGGUCGCCUCCUCCUCCUCCGCCUCCUCCACCAUCAUCUCCUCGUCAUCGGAGUCGUUGUCGAAGUCGCGGAACGCGGCCUCGAAGUCGUCGGCGCGCGCGCCCUUCUUCUUGGCCUUGUUGGCGUCGCCCGGCCAGACGUGGCCCGCCGUGACGCGCCUCGCCGCCGGCGCGCUCGGUAUGAGCUCCGCAAGGAUCGCUCCGCCGCACAUCUUUGGUUGCUGCUUUUCUUUUGCUUUUGGGUGUUGGGUUGUGAACUUGUGAGCUUGUGAUGAGGAAGGAGAGAGCGACGAGGCGGUGUUAAAUAGGGGGGAGGGGGGCCAUCCAUCCCGCGGCUCCGAAAUCGCGGGAAAAAAAAUCCUAAAGAAAUCGCGGCGAAAGAGGAGGAGGAGGGGGGCGAAGGGAUAAGGUCAGGUGGGUGGGGCCCACGCGGGGGGAGGGGGGAGGAGAAGGUGCAAUGCAUCUGCUGCUGCGUUUGCCCACUUGCGUAGGGGGAGUACCAGACACGGGCCGUGCUGUGUGUGUGUGUGUGUGUGGUGUGGCAGCUGUCCGCGGCGACGGCGACGGCGACGGCGCGCGUGCAUUGGUUGGCCCGGCAAGGAAAGGGAAGGGGAAGGAGAUGGGCUCGUGGAGGGCACGACCGCGCUCACUGCUUCUGCUGCUCGGCACCCCGCACCCGUUAGCCACUGGAGCAGGUAGGAUCCGGACCCCUAAGGGCCUGUUUGGAAGCCCUCCUCGAUUUACCACAAUUUUGUACCGAAGGUGUGGCAAGAUGCAAAUUAUGUGUCUCAAAAUUUGAUGGCCACACUUGUGGUAAACUUUGGCUAAGAAAAGAGUCUAUGACUAGUGGGACCAAAAGAGUAGAAAAUGUGGCAUGUCAAAAUUGUGGAAAUAAAUUAAACACUAAUCACAUUUGGUCAAACUGAUCUACCUCAAGUGUGGCAAAAUGUGGCACCAACCAAACAGGCCCUUAAACGAGACCCACGACAUAUUUGCAAACAAACAAUUUAUGAAUAAAACUUUCAUAUAUAUAUAUAUAUAUAUAUAUAUAUAUAUAUAUAUAUAUAUAUAUAUUAUUAGUGAUUUAGAAACAAAGGCUCUAAAAUAAACUAAGAUGAGAAAACCUAAAAGCAACAAAAGUCUUUUCAAUAUUGAAAUGUGGUUACAGGUGCUAACAAAACUUAAAAUAAACUUGAUUUGAUUGAAGUAAGUGUUACUAACUACAUGUAGUUAGGGCCCCUUUGAUUUAGAGGAAAAACAUUGGAAUUUUGGAGGAUUUCAAUCCUAUAGAAAAAUUUCCUAAGAAACACUUUGAAACAAAGGAUUGGAUCCUAUCCAAUCCUUUGAAAUUCCUAUGAAAUGAACAAUCUUAUAUAGAUUUUGGAGGAAAUUUAGCAAGAGCUUCAACCUCUUGGUAACUUUCCUUUGAGUAUAUCUCUCUCAUCCAAUUUCUGCGUUUUUCUUAUGAUUCAAUCAAACAGUCAUUCCUGCGUUUUUUCAAUCCUCUGUUUUACACUUACAUUUCUAUCAAAAUCCUACGUUUUUUCUAUUCCUACGUUUUAUCAAUUCUACGAUUUAAAGGGGCCCAACAACAAUGUAUAGCAAAAGUAGUCCAUAUAGACGGGACCCACAUGUAUGGAUUUUAACUAUUGUAACAUUCAUAAUGUAUAUAGAUAGCAAAUAGUAUUAGAAGGAGAGAAGAAGUAGAGACAAAUAAUAUAUUUUAUCCUCCAGCCCAUAUGUUUAUGGGUAGCUUUUGUUAUUUUUUUGCUAUGUACUAAUUUCACAAUGUUACUAGGUGGUUGAAUGACAUAUUAUAUUGCUUAUGGAUCACUUUUGGACUACAUUGUGGAUGCUCUUAGAGCAGGUACAAUAGCAGACUAUUAGCUAGCUAUGAACAUAUUUUAAUGAGAUAAAAGAUGAGAGAGAAGAGUAGCGGGCUACAGAUAUGUAGUCAGCUGCAGUACGGACUCCAAGACACAAUAUAUGUAUGACAGGUGGGAUCAUAUAUUAAUAGUAUAGUAAACAACUAUUGUAUAAAUUGACUAUUAUAUCGGCUAUAAAUGAAUUAGACUUAGUAGUGGGCUAUACUAUUAAAAUUGCUCUUAGACUAUAUGGAUAUCAACCCUAUAAAAUCCAUUCAAAAUUCUGACCGUACUAUUAGUACAUUUUACGGGUUCAUGUGAUUUUACUGUAGUAUCAAACUGGAGUAUCAUCACACGAAUCCGAAACCCAACAAGCCAAACAACACAGUGAAGAAGAGCUUUCCCCGGUUUUGAGCUCGCCGAUCCUUCCUACCAAACCUUCCUCCGCAACACCAUGGACUCCCCUCACCCAAACGUGUGCGACCAACGGCAUCACGGCCACACGGGUGAGCCACGGAGAUCGGGGCUGCAUCGCCUGCGAAUACCAAAACUUUCUCCCCAACCCCAGUUUCUUGGAAUUCCGGUAUUGUCAAGUUGCCAACUUGACCUGCUCACUUUCUCGUUUAUUAAUACAGCAUCAUCUGUUGGUAGCAACCAAGGGUCGCAGGCAGCAGGAUGCAGCUACAGUCAAAGCUAGUACUACGAGUAGCAAAUAUAUAUAUAUAUAUAUAUAUAUAUAUUCAGUGUCCGUGUCACACUGGGGAAAGGUUUUUUUUGCAAGCGAAUUAGGCCCUAUUUAGUGUACACGCAAAUUUUUUUCACCCAAUCACAUCGAAUGUUUGAACACAUGUAUAUUAAAUAUAAAAAAAAGUAUAGAUUGCGUGUAAAUAUCAAGACGAAUCUUUUAAGUCUAAUUACGUCAUGAUUUAACAAUAUGGUGCUACAAUAAAUAUUUACUGAUGAGGGAUUAAUUAGGCUUAAUAAAUUUAUUUCGCAGUUUCUAGAUAGAAUCUGUAAUUUGUUUUGUUAUUAGUCUACAUUUAAUACUUUAAAUGUGUGUCCGUAUAUUUGACGUGACACGCUAGAAAUUUUCGUUUCGAACUAAACAGGACGUAAGUGUCCAUGUCACACUGGGGAAAGUUUUUUUGCAAGCGAAUUAACGAAUGGCGUUCUCUGUUUAUACAGGAUCUUGUGUCACACUCGGUCAUUCAACUUGAUGUGCAAAACCAAGGUGGCUGCGGUCUGCGGCGUGCCAAGUUUCAGGAAAGCGGUAUUGCACAAGCUGAGGAGGUCCCAGGCACAGCAGCAAAAGCACCAGAAACAGUUUUUUCACAGAGUCGCUUGCACAGCGUGAUUUUCAGUUUUACCAGAUUCAUUAUCUAUUUGUAACACAAAGGAUUUUAUCUCAUAUUGUAGCAAAGGUUUAUUAUCAUGGUAGAGUAUUUACCAGUAGUACUCUUUGCUACGAGAACAUUUGAAACUUGAGCAAAGGUACUUUCUCUCUCAUUAUAUGUUCAUUUUUCGCUCAUUUGUCCUAGAAUAAAUUUAUUUUUAGAGUAAUCGUUACAUCGAAGUUUGUGAAAGCAUAAAAUAAUUAUAUUAAAAAUAGAUAAAUAAGAGACUAUAUAGAGUUUGAUAAAAUAGAUGUAUUUUAGUUUUCCGAUUUUGUAUUGAUACGUGUGAGAUGAAUGAAAGAUAAAUUUAUUUUGAGAGGGAGAAAUUAGGUAAAGAAAACGAAAUGUACCUUUUGAGAUAGAGGAAAAGGGUGAGAGACAUUAAUUGCGUGUCCCUGUUCCAGUGGCAACUUGGCGAUGCAAUUUGCCGUCGCGCUUUUGGUGGUUCGGUUUUAAACUUUUAAUCAUGCGAGAUGGCGGGAGGCGACGGCAACUUGCGGGUUAUAAGAGCAAGUUCAAUAGUAGCCAACUACUAGCUCCAAUUUAUCUAUAGCCAAUUUAAUAGCUUAUUUAUACUAUAGUUACAUACUACACUAUUAAUAUAUGGUCCCACAUGUUAUAUACACAAUACGUCUUAAAAUCCGUGCUACAGGUGGCUAUAAAUCUGUAGCCCGCUGCUUCUCUCUCUCCUUAUUUAUCUUCUUAAAAUAUAUUUGCAGCUGGUUUGUAGCCUGCUAUUGUACCUGCUCUAAACAGUACUACAGUACUACAAAUUGAAGCAGCGCGUAGUUGGAACGUGUGGGGUUCUUAUCAUCCAGAGGCAGAACAGGUUCAGUGUCUCGCAUUCAUAGUCAAGAAAAAUGAAGAAAUGUGUCUCUCUCGCCUACUUUCUGGGCGUUGGCGUUGCAUCUUGCAUGUGGGCGGAGCGGCCAAUUGAUGAAGCGGCACAUCUCCCCUGCCGUGCGGUGCAGAGACCAUGCAGCAACACAGGGCAUCUCUUCAACUAUGGGUCUAUUUGAGAAGCUUAAGAUUGGAGUAACAAACAGCUCGUAGAUGGUCAGUUUCUGAGAUUAUAAAAAAAGCUACUCCCUCCGUCUCAUAAAAAUUACAUUUCUAGCUAAUUUAGGAUAAAACAGUAGGAUUAGAAAAUGACCACAAUGACCUUAUUUAAUGAACCCAUUGCAUGCACACAUUCCAUAUAUACAAAUGAUUAAAAAUAAGUUUGAGAUAAUUAACCCAUAUAAUUAGCAUACUUAAAUUACAAGCUGAGAGAAGGAAACUUAUCUAGAUGAAUCAAUUUGCUGGGCCCCACAUGGCUAGAAAUACAAUUUUUGUGGGACAAAGCUUUAGAGCUAGAAAUGCAAUUUUUUGAGGUAGUAGGUUUUUCAACUUUUGAUUUCUAAUUCAUUUUCUGCAUUUUACUACUAUAGCUUCUUAGAAUUUAUAUCAAAAGCUAAAUUAUUUAGAGAAGAUUUUGAUUUCAUGAGAAGCUGCACAAUGUAGAAACUUCCCAGACAUACCCUAGGAAUCCCUUCCAGCCUGGCAGCCUUCCUAUCCAGUUCCAGUUCAGUUGUGCGUUGAACGGCACAAUUGGCAUCUCUAUCCAUUGCCAUGGCCGCAGGCAACCAGCCCACCCCAAAGCGGCUGCUUCUCCUAGGCUGGCAGUCAUUUUUUAUUAUGCUAAAAAAAUACUUAGCUGAAUGCUCAGGACUUCCUAAUUCUUGUUCGAGAUAUCUAUUACGAACAAGUUCAGUGAACUCCAACGUAGUUGAAGGGCCUAUUUAGAUUGUAGCCAAAAUAAAUCUUACUAAAUUUUGGCAAUUUAGUAAUAUUGCUAAGUUUUGGCAGGAUUUCUUAUUUAUUUACUAAAGUUUGGUAAGAAACUAAAUGGAUACACAUAUUUAACAACUUUACUUUAAAAAAUGGUAUCAAUCUGAACAUGCUCGAAGUAGUAAGUUCAGGUCUGCCAGUACAUCUUCAGAGUUGGGCCUCUUAAUUCUUGCCCGCCGAAGCAAAGGACCAACUAACUAUUGGAUCGUCAAAGCCCAUCUACUGAACCCUAACAUGGCUGGCCUACGAGGCCCAUCGGCAAAGUAACAGCGGAAGGAUCGUUGAGGACUUGGGGGCCCAUUUAUGCGAGUGGGCUAAAGGCCCAUUUUGUACUCGCGUGUUUUGGAGUUGUCCGUGUUAUGCAAAAAUUUUCGCUAUCAUUGGUAGCGACAGAAACGGGGGCAUUAUGCAAAGUUCAGGACCGUGGAUAGUUCAGAUGGUUUUCAGAUAAAUACUAGUUCAGAUGGUUGAUUUACUACUAACAGAUUCCCUGAUAGUUGAUUUCUAUCACAAGAGAGUACACAUUUGAAUCGGAAGCUUCCUCAAAUACACUAAUAUAAACAUCCUGUUGGAACUUUUUCAGUGUUUUUUAGAUGACAGUCUGCAGCUAGCUGUUCAUAGUUUGUCACAGUGCAAAUCUAUUGUUAUGUACUCCCUCCGUUUCACGUUAUAAGAUAUUUUAACUUUGAUCAAAAUCAAACUUCUUUAAGUUUGACUAAGCUUAUAGACAAAUAUAGUAAUAUUUACAUUACCAAAUUAGUUUUAUUAAAUUAAUAAUUAAAUAUAUCUUUAUAAUAAAUUUAUCUUGGGUUGAAAAUAUUACUAUUUUUUCUAUAAACUUGGUCAAAUUUGAACCAAUUUGAUUUUGAUCAAAGUCAAAACAUAUUAUAAUCUGAAACAGAGGGAGUAGCUAGUCGCUGCCUGAUCAAAGCGACAGGCCUUUGUUGGAUGAGCACCCAGAUCUCAUGCUUCCAUGGUGAGAGAUCAUUUGCACUAUGCGGAUACUGAACGUCCACGCCAUUUUAUGAUUGAAAUUCGGGAAAAGCAUUAAGGAACCUUUCAUGGUUAUUUUCGAUCUGGACAAUGUUUUCCGGGUCUCAGCUCGAUCAUUCCAUCAGUUAAGUCCACGCAAGUGAAUAUGUCUUCAGAGUUAUCACGUUCUUUUCGAUUAGGAUACUUAUCUUAACUCGAUUUUCGUAAACAUAUUUUUCAAACUGCUAAAUGGUACGUCUGAAAAACUUGAUGUAUGUAAGUUGUUUUAAAAGAUCAAAUAAAUCUAUUUUUAAAGUUUAUAACAAUUAACUCAAUUAAUAAUAUAUUAAUGGUUUUCUUGUUUUACGUAUGCUAACUUUAUUUUCAUCUUAAUCUAUCUCAAACACUCCGUAAACACGUUGUCAAAUGUCCAUCAGUUUCAUCUACUUUCUUGUACACUCUUAACUUAAUUUGCAGCAUCUACACCCUGCAGCAACUACACUACUACCGCUGGUUAUAGACGAAAAGAAGAGAUCGAAAAAUACAAUUACAAUUUAUACAUGUGAAGUAGACGAGGACAACAAAAUCUGUGACAGAAUGAGUAGCCGUACGUCUCCGUUGUAUUGUCCUCCCUAAUUUCUCCUGAAAAAUUGUUCAGAAACUAGCGGAGAUGAACCUCGAUCUCGAUAAGUCUGUCAUAUGUAUAUAUAAAUCAUGAAGCAGCGAUCUGCAGCCUCGCGUGUCCACCGAUCUUGGCCGGCGGCGAAGCUCGCCGGCGGUGGAACGCGUCGCGGCGCCGCCUCACCAGCAUCUCGAUCUCUCGCCUCUCCUCCCUCGCCAUCUGCUGGCUCCGGCAUUCCGCGCUGCAGAACGCGUGCUCCCCUCUGCCCAAAACAAAAAAAACCACAGAUAAAUCAGUCAGUCAGUAUCCAAGAAUUAAUUAACCACAAGUUCCUCAGCUCGAUCAUGAUCACUAAUCACCAAAUAAAGUUUCUAUUUGAAGUGUGGAUUAAGGCGGAGUUCUUGAUUUGUUGUGUAAAAUGUCUUACUUGUAGACGAACACAUCCAUGUCGGCGUAGAGCUUCUUGUGGCAGCAGUAGCAGCAGUUCAAGAACCCCAACCCCAUGAACCCCCGGCCUGCAGGAGCACCAGCCUCAUCCUGACUCGCCGCCGCCGUCGCCGCCGGCGACGGCCUCACCGCCGACCGCCUGAGCACGGACAGCGGCGGCCGUUGCCUCGGCGACUGCUGUAUGAUCAGCCGGAGCCCGACGAGCUCGCCGGAGUCAGCCGGCAUUGGCUUCUUCGUCGACGCCGCGACACCCACAGCUCCAUCCUCGAUAUGGAAGAGGCUCGGAGCUCUCGGAAUCAUGGCGUAAAAACUUUUAAGUUCUCCUCGAUCUUGAAAUCUCGAGAUUCUUGCAGAGAGAGAAGAUGAAGAAUUCAAGAUCAGAGAAUUCAGAAUGGAUUGCAAGAGGGGGAGGAGAAUUGCUAGCAGAUUGUGUGGCAGUGUGAUUAUAUAUAGUGGUCAGAGCUCAACUAGUACAGUGAAACAUGUGGUGUUUUCCUUGUUUAUUUGAUUAUUAUUAUUAUUGGGCCAGCUGAAAGCUAUAGCUCUCCUUGUCAAAACCUCGAAAAGAUUAUAUAUUUUUCUAAUGAUAAAAAAUAUUCGCACAUGCUACACAUGGCGAUCGAAUUGAAUACAGCGCGUGCAAUGCUCUACUGUGUUGGCAUGACAUGGGCUUGCGCUGCUGGCUUUAUGGGCGCCACAUAAUCGGGAUAAUAGUUUAAUUUCUCACCUGCCAUGUGGAUUAUUUAUCUUUUUUAUCGAGGUGAAAGUGAAGUAUAGAGAAAGAGACGUGUUUUUGCAUGUGAAUGUGUGAUCUCUGCUACGGUCACUGUGAAGAUAAGAGAUUUAACGGUUAGAGUUAAGACUUCGCCGUGGCAAAACAUCAGCUUUUGAUUUCGUAAUGUUAAAAUGCAUAGUUGCAGUAAACUUUUAACGCUCUGUUGACUUUGUUCUAUAUAAAUUUAAGUAGUAAAAUUUCUUCUAACUAAAAUAAAAGAAUUGCACCACUAGAGGGUGGCAGAAGAAAUAAAAUCCGAAUAUUCUUACAUCCAAUUCCUAUCGUAACUCGUUGGGCAUAUUACGGGCAUAUUUUGUUGAUAGCUAAGAGCAUGUAUAGGACAAGGAGGGGGUCCUUAGACUGUGCGCACGUAAAACGGAGCGACUCAUUUUCUUAUGAUUAAUUAAAUAUUUACUUUUUUUAAAAAUAGAUCAAUAUGAUUUUUUUAAACGACUUUGUAUAAUUUUUUUUUAAAAAACACAUCGUUUAGCAGUUUAAAAAGCAUGCACGCGGAAAACGAGGGAGGUAUGUUGGCAAAGUUGAGGAAAGAACUUAGCAAAAGGUUGUGUUUGGCAGAGAGAGUUGGAAACUCUCCCUCCAAACACGUAAAACGAUGUGGUUCAUUAGCACGUGAUUAAUUUAGUAUUAGUUUUUUUUCUAAAAAUGGAUUAAUAUGAUUUUUUAAAAGCAAUUUUCGUAUAUAGUUUUUUUUUCAUAAAACACACCGUUUAGCAGUUUGGGAAGCGUGCGCAUGAAAAACGAAGGAUGUGUAGUUGGGAACUCAAGCUGACGAACUCAGCCUAAGCUGUCAAAGUGUGGUGUGGGUAAGAUUUGGCAUGGCAAACUCUAGCCACCAAGCAAACAGCCUCUACCUUGCGCAUAUGGGACAAUAUGGGAGUAUUCCAUCUCUUAUUCUGAAGGAAGGAAUGUACUCAGCAAUCAGUAUCCAAUUCUCUGGUAUAAACCACUCAUUCCGUGGUGGAAACUGACCUAACCGCGGCAGAAUAUUUCCUCCAACAUAGCAGGGAAAAGACCCCCCCCCCCACCCCCCCUCAUUUCACAUAAACCAUUCGUAUAUACUCCCUCCAUCCUACAUGUUUUAUGCCGUUGACUUUUUUAAAUAUAUAUGACCGUUCGUCUUAUUCAAAAAAUAUAAGCAAUUAUUAAUUCUUUUCAUACCAUUUGAUUAAUUUUUAAAUAUACUUUUAUGUACACAUAUAGUUUUAUAUAUUUCACAAAAGUUUUUAAAUAAGACGAACGGUCAAAUAUAUUUAAAAAAAUCAACUGCGUUAAACAUUCAGGAGGGAGUGGCAGAGAAUAUCUUUGGCAAACAAACAGCAACCCUAGCUGAGCAACUACUACUCGUAGGGGCGAAUCCAAUUCUCCAAAUAGCCCAUGUGCACAACCCGGGGCGUUGGCAGCAACCGCUUUGCAUACUUAAUUCUGGGCAUGUUAUUGCCUUUGCCAAUUGCCACUCCGGGAAAAGGCACGGCGUGUGUUGUGUGGACGCCGCAAAGCUAUGGCGCUCCUGCUCGAUGUAGUACACUAGUACUCCAUGCAUUCUAUUUUAAACGCAACCAUAAUCGUCUCUCUUAUUUGAUAUUUUAUUUAAAAAAUAAAAAAAUAAGUUACGUAUAAAAUAAUAUUCAUACUUUAUCAUAUAAUAACAAUAAAAAUAUUGAUUAAAUUUUUUUAAUAAGAUAGAUGAUUAAAGUUAAACACGAAAAUUAUGACUCCACCUAAAAAGAGACGGAGGAAAAAGUACAAAUUAAAACUGGGACGCGUGAGCACGACGGCUGGUGUGUGGCCGCACAUACGUUUACGACGUACCCGUGCGUGCAGCACGUGUUUGGGCGACGCCGUUUGUCAUGUGCCAACCAAUACCCACAUAUCCCUGCGUUGCCACUACCAACAUGCCAGCCACUGCAUCGUGUCCAUAUGGCUACAGGUGGUGGAAGUGCGGUAUUGGUACUUUCUCGGUACCAAAAUGUCGAGGUAGUAGCAGACAAGGCGGCAACAACGUGGCCUCGUGGAAAAGUGUUAGCGUUUUUUCUUUAUAUAACGUGACAUACAUAUAGUCAUUGGUUAAUGCUAACGACUACGUAAAGUAAGGCUGGCUAUUUUACAAGCACUACGGUGCAACCCUCCCCUCUCAACAACAGUUAACAUGCAUUAACAGCUACACCUCUGUUUCAUAAAAAACUCAAUCCAAUCCUAAUAUGAGAAUUUAGACACAUAUAUGUUUAGGUUAGUAGCUAGGAUUUAAUUUUUUUUAGAACAUAUACCACGUCGUAAAAAUAGAGGACGUUAAAGGUGUAGAUCUGUUAUACUUUAAGAAUGUUUUAGAAAAUGUUUUAAUAGAUAAAAAUUAAAAUUAAGAAAAAUCCGUAGGGCUCCCGAGUCCCGAGAGGUCGUAUGCUGCUGGAGAGCCGAGAGCCCGGAUGGUUGGGGUGCAGCCCACAUGGCCCGAUUAGAGCAAGUUUAAUAGUAUAGCCAAAUGUUAGCUUCAAAUUAUCUAUAACUAAUCUAAUAGCUCAUUCAUUAAAUAGUUAUCUAUAAAAAUAUACUACACAAUUAAUACUCGGUCUCACCUCUCAAACACACAAAGUGUCUUGAAGUCCAUGUUUCAGCUGGAUACAAAUUUAUAGCCCGCUUUUUUCUCUCUUCUCUUUUCUUCUUGUUAUAGCUGGCAUAAAGCCUACUAUUGUUCUUGCUCUUAGCCGCGGGAGUGCGAGGCCCAUGAAUGAUGAAUCUACGCGACCACGCCCCAAUGAACGGGAUCGCGAGGAGUUUGAGUUUCGCUUCAAGAAGAGAUUCGCUAUAGACUGCUGCUCCGUGUCGCCUGCUUCAGAUUUCAGAGCUCAAAACAAUAGCUGCUGUUCUCGUUCCGUUUCAAGAUAGCCAACUCGAUUGGAAAACCUUUACUGAAUGUAAGAUACUCUCUCAACACAUUUUUAUUUCGUAGCAUUACUUUUAGGUACGAGUCACUAACUCACAACUACUAACAUUAACACUCACUCCGUCCCACACUCCGUCCCACAAUAUAAGGGAUUUUGAGUUUUUGCUUGCAACGUUUGAUCACUCGUCUUAUUCAAUUUUUUUUUUGUAAAUAUAAAAAACGAAAAGUUAUGCUUGAAGUAAUGUAGAUAAUAAAGUAAGUCACUAAUAAAAUAAAUAAUAAUUUUAAAUUUUUUUAAUAAGACGAGCGGUCAAACGUUGCAAUCAAAAAUUCAAAAUACUUUAUAUUAUAGGACGGAGGGAGUAUUUAUUUAGCUGCAGGUCUCCCUGCACUCAUUCAUCGUGCUAAUCCAAUCAAACCUUGUACCGGGCAAACACUGAUGCAACAGCCCGUGAAUUCUUUACGACCCAAACUGAGUAUGCUCAAGUUUUCCAGAUUAAGGUUGCUGCACAUCUUCCGUUAACACAUCGCAGAUUAACGGCGUUUUGCUUUAUUUCUCGUCUUCUGGAUGGCGAAGCCUUAUGAGUUCAGUCCAUCAGUCGCGAUACUGUGACAUGAACUCCUCAUGGAAUUCCCUGAAGCGGGAGAUCAUCGAAGGUAUCUUCUCCUCCUGCGGCAGGAUCGUGCAUCUCACGUGCCAUGUCCCUGCAACCUUUCACAAAGGACCAAACUUGAGUGGUCAGGAAUUCAGAAUUGCAGGUGAACAGAUAACAUCUGAUGAUCUGAAAUGGUAGAAAAAACGGUUGCUAUCUGUUAUUGUUUUUUUUUUAAUUGGUGCUAUCUGUUCUUGUAGAACGAGACUACUACUACUACCAGACUCUUCAGGAAUAUAGAUUGUGCUGCGUGAGCUUCAGCCGUUCCCCAAAACAGUUCACUUAUCAUUCUGUGGGAUUCAGACAGCACAUAUCACUAUGGUUCAAAGAUCAAGAGUAGAAAGUAGCUCACUUGUCCAAAACCAGAUCCAGGAGUCACAACGAUGCCGGUGGUAUCAAGAAGACGUAGAGCGUAGAAUACAUCAGGUGCUUUGUUGACAGCCCUGGCAGCCUCAAUUGCCUUCUGUGGUAGAUAAAUCCGUGGGAACAGAUACAUCGCCCCUUCCGUCUUGUUGCAUGUAAUUCCAUCAAUACUGUUAAAUGCAGACUCCAUUGCCUGUGAUCCAGAUUCCAGACAAAAUGAUGUCUUAGCUCAAGUGUCUGCAUAGAUAGCAAGAAGUGAAUCUGUUAAAAGUAAACUCCACACACCUUUGCACGACGAGAUAAAGAUUUUAGGAUGUUGUCUUUCUCUUCCUCGUAGAGGUCAUAAGAUGCGUCCCCAGCCUGCACAAUAUGCAUGGUCUCUCUGUGUUAUGAAUCUAGUGUAUAUUGGCAAUUACAUUUCGUGUAAGGACAGAUAUGUUAUUGCACCUUUGGUGGAUCCAUUAUGAGGCUCGCAAGGAUCUGGCCGGUGAUAUUUGAACACAAGUUAACAGAUGCAAUUUUGUAGAGUUGUUCUCUAACUGGAGUGCUGAAGCCAGUGACCUCCAUGUAACCGCCUCUCUUGCCACACUCUCCGUAAUAUCCUGAUGGCAGGCAAAAAAAUAUCUAUGUGGUAAGGAGUUACAAUGUACUUGGAGAAAGAAAGGCGGAUGAUGGGAUUUCACCUUUAGAAACAGAAUGCAAUGAUACUAAUUGUAAAUCGUCUCCAUUGUAUCCCAUGGAUCUUGCUAUCUUCUUGAAAGAGUUGAUCUUCUUGUUGGUAACAUAAAUGUUCUCUUGGUAUACCUAUCAACACCCCCCAAAAAACGAUUAUCUGGACAGUUUUCUCUUGUGUUUGUUAACAUCAUACUUUGUUAACAUUAUUAUAUCACUCAACACACUGACACCUUUGAACAUGACUAGCCUUACCUCAUCCGCCAGAAGAACAAGUUCCUCGUCCU